AUUGAACGCUGGCGGCAGGCCUAACACAUGCAAGUCGAGCGAGCGGCGGACGGGUGAGUAAUGUAUGGGGACUGCCCGAUAGAGUGGGAUAACUACUUGAAACGGUGGCUAAUACCCCAUACUAUCGGAUAACCCAUAUGGGAUUAGCUCGUAGGUAAGGUAAUGGCUUACCUAGGCGACGAUCCCUAGCUGGUCUGAGAGGAUGAUCAGCAACACUGGGACUGAGACACGGCCCAGACUCCUACGGAGGCAGCAGUGGGGAAUAGUGCACAAUGGGCGCAAGCCUGAUGCAGCCAGGCCGCGUGUAUGAAGAAGGCCCUAGGGUUGUAAAGUACUUUCAGUGGGGAGGCGUUACCGACAGAAGAAGCACCGGCUAACUCCGUGCCAGCAGCCGCGGUAAUUC
rnacentral:rRNA from 1 species